CGAAUGCUGACAUAAGUAACGAUAAAGCGGGUGAAAAGCCCGCUCGCCGGAAGACCAAGGGUUCCUGUCCAACGUUAAUCGGGGCAGGGUGAGUCGACCCCUAAGGCGAGGCCGAAAGGCGUAGUCGAUGGGAAACAGGUUAAUAUUCCUGUACUUGGUGUUACUGCGAAGGGGGGACGGAGAAGGCUAUGUUGGCCGGGCGACGGUUGUCCCGGUUUAAGCGUGUAGGCUGGUUUUCCAGGCAAAUCCGGAAAAUCAAGGCUGAGGCGUGAUGACGAGGCACUACGGUGCUGAAGCAACAAAUGCCCUGCUUCCAGGAAAAGCCUCUAAGCAUCAGGUAACAUCAAAUCGUACCCCAAACCGACACAGGUGGUCAGGUAGAGAAUACCAAGGCGCUUGAGAGAACUCGGGUGAAGGAACUAGGCAAAAUGGUGCCGUAACUUCGGGAGAAGGCACGCUGAUAUGUAGGUGAAGUCCCUCGCGGAUGGAGCUGAAAUCAGUCGAAGAUACCAGCUGGCUGCAACUGUUUAUUAAAAACACAGCACUGUGCAAACACGAAAGUGGACGUAUACGGUGUGACGCCUGCCCGGUGCCGGAAGGUUAAUUGAUGGGGUCAGCGCAAGCG
rnacentral:rRNA from 1 species